AGAGUUUCAUCCUGGCUCAGGAUGAACGCUAGCGACAGGCUUAACACAUGCAAGUCGAGGGGCAGCACAGGUAGCAAUACCGGGUGGCGACCGGCGCACGGGUGAGUAACGCGUAUGCAACUUACCUAUCAGAGGGGGAUAACCCGGCGAAAGUCGGACUAAUACCGCAUGAAGCAGGGGCCCCGCAUGGGGAUAUUUGCUAAAGAUUCAUCGCUGAUAGAUAGGCAUGCGUUCCAUUAGGCAGUUGGCGGGGUAACGGCCCACCAAACCGACGAUGGAUAGGGGUUCUGAGAGGAAGGUCCCCCACAUUGGUACUGAGACACGGACCAAACUCCUACGGGAGGCAGCAGUGAGGAAUAUUGGUCAAUGGGCGUAAGCCUGAACCAGCCAAGUCGCGUGAGGGAUGAAGGUUCUAUGGAUCGUAAACCUCUUUUAUAAGGGAAUAAAGUGCGGGACGUGUCCCGUUUUGUAUGUACUUUAUGAAUAAGGAUCGGCUAACUCCGUGCCAGCAGCCGCGGUAAUACGGAGGAUCCGAGCGUUAUCCGGAUUUAUUGGGUUUAAAGGGAGCGUAGAUGGGUUGUUAAGUCAGUUGUGAAAGUUUGCGGCUCAACCGUAAAAUUGCAAUUGAUACUGGCAGCCUUGAGUACAGUUGAGGUAGGCGGAAUUCGUGGUGUAGCGGUGAAAUGCUUAGAUAUCACGAAGAACUCCGAUUGCGAAGGCAGCCUACUAAACUGCCACUGACAUUGAUGCUCGAAAGUGUGGGUAUCAAACAGGAUUAGAUACCCUGGUAGUCCACACGGUAAACGAUGAAUACUCGCUGUUUGCGAUAUACAGCAAGCGGCCAAGCGAAAGCGUUAAGUAUUCCACCUGGGGAGUACGCCGGCAACGGUGAAACUCAAAGGAAUUGACGGGGGCCCGCACAAGCGGAGGAACAUGUGGUUUAAUUCGAUGAUACGCGAGGAACCUUACCCGGGCUUGAAUUGCACUCGAAUACAGCGGAAACGUUAUAGCUAGCAAUAGCGAGUGUGAAGGUGCUGCAUGGUUGUCGUCAGCUCGUGCCGUGAGGUGUCGGCUUAAGUGCCAUAACGAGCGCAACCCUUGUCUAUAGUUACUAACAGGUCAUGCUGAGGACUCUAUGGAGACUGCCAUCGUAAGAUGUGAGGAAGGUGGGGAUGACGUCAAAUCAGCACGGCCCUUACGUCCGGGGCCACACACGUGUUACAAUGGGGGGUACAGAGGGCCGCUACCACGCAAGUGGAUGCCAAUCCCGAAAGCCUCUCUCAGUUCGGACUGGAGUCUGCAACCCGACUCCACGAAGCUGGAUUCGCUAGUAAUCGCGCAUCAGCCAUGGCGCGGUGAAUACGUUCCCGGGCCUUGCACACACCGCCCGUCA
rnacentral:rRNA from 1 species